GUGAACGCAUGCGUAAGUGUUGGCUGGGAGCGGGAGAGUGUGUCAGCGUGAGUUGUGGCUAACAGCAGCUCGUGUAUGUACAGAUGUCAUGACUAGAGAUGCAUACCGAGUACCAGUACUUCUUAGUCCCGGUUCCUAAUUGGGUCGCUCCUCCUGGACCGUGAAGAUUCUGGACUGACGGAGGAGGAUCCGCCAGGGCAGUUGCUGGAUGUUCCAUCUCCAUCGUUG